UGCGCUGAUAGAGGCGCAAAAAAGACGAUAUAAGAAGGAGCUGGCAAGCAAAGAUUUCUUAUAGAAGCGAUUUUGCCGAACUGUUCUUAAAGGCAUUUAAGGAUGGUGGGCUUGUAGAGAAGAUCUGCAAGACUGUCUACGAAUGUAGGAGAGCUAUCUUAAGG
rnacentral:ncRNA from 2 species